rnacentral:lncRNA from 1 species
CCUCCUCCUCCUCUUCCUCCUCUUUUUCCUGCUCUUCUUCCUCUUCCUUCCUUCCCCUUUCCCUCCUCUUUUCUUCCUCCUCCUCUUCCUCCUUUUUGUUCUCCUCCUCCUCUUCCUCUUCCUCCUCCUCUCCCUCCUUCCCCUCCCCAUUCCCCUCCUCUCUCAUUAACCCCCGUGAUUAAUUGCUUCAUUAACUGCUUCAUUAACUGGUUAAUUAAUGGGUAAUUAACUGCUUCAUUAAUUAACUGCUUCAUUAAUUAACUGCUUCAUUAACUGCCUUGCAGGGAGCUGGAGCUGCCACCUCUGCCUGGACCUGCUCAAGGAGAAGGCGUCGAUUUACCAGAACCAGAACAGCUCCUGAUCCUGCUCUUCCUCCCCAUCCUCCUCCUCCUCCUCCUCCUCCCCCCUCGGCUUUGGGGCCUUUCAUUUCUCCUUUUUUUGGCUCAUUUCCCCUUUUUUUCCUCUUUUUUGGGGGGUCCUUUUUCUUUCAUUUCCCUUUUUUUUAUUUUCUUUCUUUUCUUUUUUAUCCUCUCAUUCCUUUUUUCUCUCCAUUUCCCUUUUUGCCCUUCUUUUUUCACCCUUUUUCCAACCUUUUUUUUUAACCCUUCCAUUCCCUUCGUUCCAUUUUUUUUUCCUCCCUUUUCCCCAAUUUUGGCUCCUUUUUUUCUUCCCAAUUUUGUCUCCUUUUUUCCUCCACUUUUGUCUCCUUUUUUUCCAAAUUUUGGCUCCUUUUUUCCCACUUUUGUCUCCUUUUUUUUCCAAAUUUUGUCUCCUUUUUUCCCACUUUUGGCUCCUUUUUUUUCCCCCAAUUUUGGCUCCUUUUUUCCCACUUUUGUCUCCUUUUUUCCCCACUUUUGUCUCCUUUUUUCCCACUUUUGUCUCCUAUUUUCCCCAAUUUUGGCUCCUUUUUUUUCCCAAAUUUUGGCUCCUUUUUUUCCCAGUUUUUCCCCUCCUGACAUUUUUUUGGGGUGACCCCCCCGGGUGACAUUUUGGGGGUGACUUUCACCCCUUCCCCCCCAAAUUCCCAGGAUUUCACCCCAAAACUCACCCCCCCUCCCCCUCCUGGCACUGCAGCUG